UGGGGAAUAUUGCACAAUGGGCGAAAGCCUGAUGCAGCGACGCCGCGUGAGGGAUGACGGCCUUCGGGUUGUAAACCUCUUUCAGCAGGGAAGAAGCGAAAGUGACGGUACCUGCAGAAGAAGCGCCGGCUAACUACGUGCCAGCAGCCGCGGUAAUACGUAGGGCGCAAGCGUUGUCCGGAAUUAUUGGGCGUAAAGAGCUCGUAGGCGGUUAGUCGCGUCUGCUGUGAAAAUCUCGAGGCUCAACCUCGGGCUUGCAGUGGGUACGGGCUGACUAGAGUGCGGUAGGGGUGACUGGAAUUCCUGGUGUAGGGGUGGAAUGCGCAGAUAUCAGGAGGAACACCGAUGGCGAAGGCAGGUCACUGGGCCGCAACUGACGCUGAGGAGCGAAAGCAUGGGGAGCGAACAGGAUUAGAUACCCUGGUAGUCCAUGCCGUAAACGUUGGGCACUAGGUGUGGGGUCCAUUCCACGGAUUCCGUGCCGCAGCAAACGCAUUAAGUGCCCCCGCCU
rnacentral:rRNA from 1 species